CCCUAAUUCCCAAAUUGAAUCAGAAACCCUAAUUCCCAAAUUAAUUGAGAAACCCUAACCCUGCCACCCUCACCACAGCCGCACCCCACCCCCUUUCACCCCUUCAGUGGAACAAUUUCAGAAACGAGAAAUUAGAGAGAGAGAGAUGCAUGAAGAAGAGAAGCCCGCCAGUUGCCACCGCGUCGCCAUUACUGAGCUACAGCGCCGCCGUCCAGCCUCAUCCCGCCGUGUUACCAUGGUCACCGUUGCUGUUGCAAGGAAAGGGGAGAGGGCCGAAGCUGCACGUCCGAGGGAGAAGGGUGGAUGCUGUUCGCCGUGCCGCCUCCCUGGAGCUCGCCGUCGAGCUGCUUCGCAGCGCCGUCCCGUCCAUAGAGCCAGAGCCCGCGUCGCCGUCGUUCAUUCGCGUUCUGCCGCCGCCGCUUCAAGGGUCUGUCGUCGCUGCUGACGUCGCCGAAAGGAGGAGAGCGACCACCACGAGGAGCUGUGUUCCACGCCACUGUCGCCAUCGAUCCACGGCCACCACCGCGAGGGUUCCGCCGCCGUCGUUCCAAUGCUGCCGUUCAUGCCCUCUGUUCCCUUCAUCGUUCUGUCCAGCAUCACCAGCACUGAAGUCAGCUUCUACCACCGUCAAGCUUUGUUGGAGCUGGUGCUGUUUUUGGAUGUUUGGAGUGGAGGCUUGCCCAGUUCUGUCUCUGCUCAUGGUUCUCGCAGCUGCCGGAGCCUCCGCCGCCAUCAAAGCUGCGUGGAUUCGUAAUAUUGGGUUUACCGCAUUUAAAUUCUUCAAUUACGGCUAAUUGAGGUGCUGGAAACUGCUAAUGGAGCAGCUGCGUUUAGUGAAUUUUCGACGGUUUCGGCUAGUCGAGUGAUACAGGUUCGAAGAUUCCAUUUGAAGCUGCGGGUGAUUAUAGAACUUAUUUACGAGUUAAGUUUAUGACUUGAGUUUCUUUCAUAGAAUUCCCUCACCUUUGUAGCUUUAGUUUUUAUUUUAUGCAGAGGGAUAGGAGUCAUACCUGAAUUU